rnacentral:lncRNA from 1 species
GUGAGGCAUCAGCUAAUUCACUUAAAGAUGAAUUCACAUAUGAAAAAGGAGGCCAUAUUGUUUUGGUUCCAGACUAGAACACUACCUAAUACCAUUCCUCAUCAUAGUUGGCAUAUGUCUCAUCUUGAUUGUCAUCUUCAUGAUCACAAAAUUUGUGCAAGACAGACAGAACCAGAAGGAAUGGACUAUGUAAAGAUCAACUUAAGAAACUCCCUAUACAUAAAUUCAAGAAAGCGUAUCACUGCAAGUGUGUGGAUCCUUGGCUAGCUAAAACCAAGAAAACUUGUCCAGUAUGUAAACAGAAAGUUGUUCCUUCUCAAGGAGAUUCAGACUCUGACACGGAUAGUAGUCAAGAAGAGAAUGAAGUCUCAGAACAUACCCCUUUAUUACCAUUAGCUUCUGUUAGUGCCCAGUCGCUUGGGGCUUUAUCAGAAUAUGACAGAAUCUUCAGACUAUGAGGAGGAGGAUGACAAUGAAGAUAUUGAUGGUAGUGAUGCAGAAAAUGAAAUGAAUGAAGAGAGUGUGAUUGUCCAAUUGCAGCCUAAUGGUGAAAGGGAUUACAACAUAGCAAAUACAGUUUGAACUUAAAAUUCUAUUCAUCUUCAUACCUUAUAUGAAAACAUUUGUUGAUCAGCUUAUCCCUUUAUGUGUAUUUUAGUAUAUACUUUCAUUGUCCAUUCCCCCUUCAGUUAUUUCUAUAAGAGAGGCCUUUUUCUGUAUUCUAUGGUUUAAUCAGAUUACCUUUUUUUUUUAAUAUCAGGUAUUCAUCCACAAGAACCACACUUCUUGUUACUAAAGCAUAACAUUAUCAAGGUGCUGGACCUUAAGCAUCAUUCUCUUUUUAGAAUGGAAUAUAGCCAAAAAGAAAAGUCAGUAUAAGUAUGGUUUCUAGUGAAGGCUACAUAUAUUUAUUACCAUGAUGAAUUCUGCUGCCACACCAUGCUUGGCCUAGCCCAAUUUCCCAGAAUUUUUGGUGUCAACUUGUGGGUUCCCCUAAGCUGCCAGCAUUAUUGACAGGUUAGCCUAUUC